GCCGGCGUGGCGUAACGGUAGCCGCAGGGGACUUAAAAUCCCCGACCUCAGGUGUGUGGGUUCGAAUCCCACCGCCGGCA
rnacentral:tRNA from 1 species